rnacentral:rRNA from 1 species
GAUGAACGCUGGCGGCGUGCUUAACACAUGCAAGUCGAGCGAUCAAGAGAGGAGUCUACGCUUCUGCCGUUAUUCAUUUCCGAUUAGUUGCCGACGGGUGAGUCACGCUUUAGCACUCUGCUAAUUACAAAAGACUAGCGCCGGGAACCCGGGAUUUAUACAAUCUCACAUUUUAACAAAGCAUUUCGAUUCUGCCAUCGCUACGACGGUAAGAGAUGGGCUCGCGUCUCAUUAACCGGAUGGUGAGGUAACGGCUCACCAUAGUGACGAUGGGUAACCGGACUGAGAGGGUGAACGGUCACACUGGAACUGAGACACGGUCCAGACUCCUACGGGAAGCAGCAGUGGGGAAUAUUGCACAAUGGAGGGAACUCUGAUGCAGCGACGCCGCGUGAGUGAUGAAGGAAUUCGUUUCGUAAAACUCUGUUCUAUGGGAAGAAAAGGACUGUACCAGAGGAGAAAGCUCCGGCUAAAUACGUG